GCCUGGGUGGCUCAAUCGUUUGAGCGCCCGACUUCAGCUCAGGUCAUGAUCUGUGGGUUCAAGCCCCGCAUCGGGCU
rnacentral:tRNA from 1 species